GCUGGCGGCAGGCCUAACACAUGCAAGUCGAGCGGUAGAGAGAAGCUUGCUUCUCUUGAGAGCGGCGGACGGGUGAGUAAAGCCUAGGAAUCUGCCUGGUAGUGGGGGAUAACGUUCGGAAACGGACGCUAAUACCGCAUACGUCCUACGGGAGAAAGCAGGGGACCUUCGGGCCUUGCGCUAUCAGAUGAGCCUAGGUCGGAUUAGCUAGUUGGUGAGGUAAUGGCUCACCAAGGCGACGAUCCGUAACUGGUCUGAGAGGAUGAUCAGUCACACUGGAACUGAGACACGGUCCAGACUCCUACGGGAGGCAGCAGUGGGGAAUAUUGGACAAUGGGCGAAAGCCUGAUCCAGCCAUGCCGCGUGUGUGAAGAAGGUCUUCGGAUUGUAAAGCACUUUAAGUUGGGAGGAAGGGCAUUAACCUAAUACGUUAGUGUUUUGACGUUACCGACAGAAUAAGCACCGGCUAACUCUGUGCCAGCAGCCGCGGUAAUACAGAGGGUGCAAGCGUUAAUCGGAAUUACUGGGCGUAAAGCGCGCGUAGGUGGUUUGUUAAGUUGGAUGUGAAAUCCCCGGGCUCAACCUGGGAACUGCAUUCAAAACUGACUGACUAGAGUAUGGUAGAGGGUGGUGGAAUUUCCUGUGUAGCGGUGAAAUGCGUAGAUAUAGGAAGGAACACCAGUGGGCGAAGGCGACCACCUGGAACUAAUACUGACACUGAGGUGCGAAAGCGUGGGGAGCAAACAGGAUUAGAUACCCUGGUAGUCCACGCCGUANCGAUGUCAACUAG
rnacentral:rRNA from 1 species